CUUUUAUAAUACUGGAAAAAUGUAUGAAACAAUUCUUCAGAUGGUGGGCAAUAGGUGUACAAAACCAUGAGGUCUAAGAGAAAGGAAACAUUUGAGAAACACCCACAAGAAUUCACUCUGGCUGGCAAAGAAUAAAGGAGGAUCAAGAGCAGACACUGUAUCUGGAAGACUCCCACAAAAGCAGGUGAUGCUGUUUUAUACCUGGGCUCCACAGAGAUGAGAUGAGGUUAAAUAAUGGCAUUUACGUGAGCACAGCCCAAGGGUUGCUUUAGUUUAUUUUAGCAGCACAUGGAAGAAGACAGAGGGGCAACAGCAGGGUGAUGUGUACCAGGCCAGCAAAAUCUCCUACAGGAAAUUAUUGACGCCAGCCAGCUGCUCCAAGCCCCUGCUGGGCCGUUUCUGGUCCUCUCCUAUCUCUCAGGGGACAGCCAUCCCCCUGUGGCUUGCCAGCUCUGGAAGACAAAGAGGGCAAAGCUCACAGCCUGCUGCGUGCCUACCUCCAACACAUACCCCUACCCUCACCCCAGCCUGUGAGACCACAGUCAGGGCCCCGCCAGGGGUGGGGGCAGGAGGAAGUGUCCAGCAAUCCUCUUUUCUCUAGAAAUGGGAUUGGAAAUGGGGUAAUCGUCUAAAUGGGCAGUCAUGACGAGUCGAUAAACAUAACUCCCAUUUUUAUUACAGUGAUGAGGCUGCCUGAGCAAGCAUAAUCCCUCUCCUGGGCUCCAGGAGAUUGCUGGGCAGCCAGCCUCCCCCCUGCUGCCCCUCCACCAAGGCUGCAUUAGUCUGACGGCAAAAGGCAUUGAGCUCUAGACGGACUGCAUUUCAUAAUGGCAUUUAAAAGCAUGGAUCCUGGGGUCAAGCCAGGGUCCAAGGACACCACUGACCAAGCUCUCUGUCCCCUUGACAUGAUCCUCCUGCUUUCCCAAAUACUGAUGGGACAGAGAUGGCUUAAAUGCAGGGCCACCUGCGGUCAUGUAAGAUAGAGAAGAUAAUCAGGGAGGACCCCAACUCAAAUGACUGGUGGAAACACAGCAUAAUGGAAAACCCCAGUCCUGUCCCAACAAAUCCACUAACUCUUGUGGCCUCUGUUUCCUCAUCUGCAUUAUGUGAUUGUUGAGGUCUUUUCAGGCUCUUCUUCGUAAAAAACCCACAGAUUCACGACUCUCCCACCCAGCCAGCAUAGUUACUCUAUCCUUACAUAGGGUAACUCCUUUGUGCUUUAGAGGCUGUUUUAUCUUUUUCAGCUCCCUACUGAAAUUAUAAUCGUCCACUUUAUUAAUGAACACCUUGUGGGAGAGGAUGACCUAGUAGUAGCUGGAAGCAAGGUCCUGAGGGAACAGGGCAGGCAGGGGAGGCAUGGCCUUGUGUACCAGAAAGAUAAAAGCGGUUCAGAAUGGGAGGCAGAAAAACAACAAGGCCACAUCAUCUGGGGCCCACCAUGUGGGCAAAUGCACAAUGAGAACAGAUGAGGUCCAGGUAGAUGAACUGCAGAUUAGGGCAAGCACUUGGGGACCUUCAGAACAAAUCACAACCCUGCAGGGACUCCUGAUCAGAGGCUUUGUCUCUCUCCAUUCACUCAUUUGCUCAAGCAGUGAUCAGCUGGGAGAUGUAGCAAAAUUAAAACUGGAUUUAGAUUCAGAAGCUGGGCCCUAGCUUAGUGACAACAUUUAGCUCAUCACAAGAACAAGGCGUAUCACCAUUCAGAGCCAGCAAAACAAUUCCUGCCUUGCACACUUCAUGGGCUGGGUUGCCACCCUGCACACCUCAGUGGGUGUCAUUCCUAUGGGAGUCUACAUGAGUGGUGCCAGCCAGAAUUGGACAACACACAACACACAACUGGCAUAUUACAGCCCUGCUUGUAGUUUAAAAAUGUCCACUGUUAGCACACUAAUAUUAUCUUGGUCACAUUCUAGAAGGGGAUGCUAGACCCCCAAAGAACAUUUGCAAAAAGCUAAAAUUUAGUGGCAUUCAGCAUUGUGGUCUAUUCACCGCAGCCAUGGUGAAACAGUAAAGCAAUCCAUUAUAUAAACCUAGUUUAUAUAGGUGCUGUCGUUGUGAUUCAGAUGAGAAUAAUCACAAAAAAGAAUAAGCAAGAUAGGAGAUGUGGCCCCAGGCUGAGGCAAAUACCCUUCAUUAUGUGUCUCUCUGGUCCUAAGACUACUCUGCUUCCCAUACUCUCCCCCUCUCAAAAUAUCCUCCACUGAAAGACACCCAUGGAGUCUCGGUUAAGACAGGCUGCCAUGACAGACUUUGCAGAUCAGGACAAGAAGAGGGGGACCAAAUCUGUCUGGCCCAAAAGGAAGUUCCCUGGAUUUCAUGCGCCCUCACACAACAUCUCCCCAUAAGCUCAGGACAGCAGGUCCUAAGAGUGACCUUUCCUCUCAACCUUCCCACUUUUGCCUGGGAAAGAAGAUCUACAGAUUCAUGACUCCACCACACUGCCUACUAUCUGGCCAAUUCCAAGCCCCUUCUCAUGCUUCCCCCAUACACCAGAAACGUUCAGGUCAAGUAGAUUAAAUCAUGCUGAAAUCAUGUAGAGCCCUUUGAUCUACUCCUGCUUUUCUUAUUGGGAUGGGGGAUGGAAAUGGGAGACACUGAAAGCAUUUGCACCCACCUGUCCAU